GAGGACCAUGUGAAGUAGUUUAAUCUUCUUCUUCUUUUGUUUUUGUUUAAUCUCUUAGGAGGACCAUUAAUAUUGGCCUUGUUACAUUAUGGGAAAUAACCCAUUUGCUUCCUAAUAAAAAAACGGAAGUGAUUAGUAUGAAGUUUAUUUUAGGGUAAGUUGGUCAAUUGACCAAUAGAAUACUAACGCGUAGGCGAGGUUGUAUGUGUGUUAAUAUUCUAUUGGCCAAUUGAUUAACUUAUCACCAAAAUAAUUUCAUGCUAACCAGAUCCAAAAAAAAAGGUCCAUCUUAUUCUGCACUGCAUCCCCAUGUCAGGAGAAACAUUGGCAUUGACCAAGGAUGACAUGGUAGUUAGAACAAAAUAUGUAACUUAUUUUAUUUUAUUUUUAAUUUUAAUGAGGAUAUUUCCAC
rnacentral:lncRNA from 1 species